AACGCGAAGAACCUUACCAGCUUUUGACAUGUCCUGGACGGAUUGCAGAGAUGCGAUCUUCCCUUCGGGGCCGGGAACACAGGUGCUGCAUGGCUGUCGUCAGCUCGUGUCGUGAGAUGUUGGGUUAAGUCCCGCAACGAGCGCAACCCUCGCCCUUAGUUGCCAUCAUUCAGUUGGGCACUCCAGGGGGACUGCCGGUGAUAAGCCGGAGGAAGGUGGGGAUGACGUCAAGUCCUCAUGGCCCUUACAGGCUGGGCUACACACGUGCUACAAUGGCGGUGACAGAGGGAGGCGAAGGGGCGACCCUUGGCAAAUCUCGAAAAGCCGUCUCAGUUCGGAUUGCACUCUGCAACUCGAGUGCAUGAAGUUGGAAUCGCUAGUAAUCGCGGAUCAGCACGCCGCGGUGAAUACGUUCCCGGGCCUUGUA
rnacentral:rRNA from 1 species